rnacentral:rRNA from 1 species
CCUACGGGAGGCAGCAGUAAGGAAUAUUGGUCAAUGGACGCAAGUCUGAACCAGCCAUGCCGCGUGCAGGAUGACGGCCCUCUGGGUUGUAAACUGCUUUUAUACGGGAAGAAACCUCUGGUUGCGAUCAGAGCUGACGGUACCGUAAGAAUAAGGACCGGCUAACUUCGUGCCAGCAGCCGCGGUAAUACGAAGGGUCCAAGCGUUAUCCGGAUUUAUUGGGUUUAAAGGGUGCGUAGGCGGCUUAUUAAGUCAGUGGUGAAAGACUUCAGCUUAACUGAAGAACUGCCAUUGAUACUGAUGAGCUUGAAUAUACUUGAGGUGGGCGGAAUGUGUCAUGUAGCGGUGAAAUGCUUAGAUAUGACACAGAACACCGAUUGCGAAGGCAGCUCGCUAAAGUAUGAUUGACGCUGAUGCGCGAAAGCGUGGGGAGCAAACAGGAUUAGAUACCCUGGUAGUCCACGCCCUAAACGUUGAUAACUCGAUGUGUGCGAUAUACAGUACGNGUCCAAGCGAAAGCAUUAAGUUAUCCACCUGGGAAGUACGGUCGCAAGAUUGAAACUCAAAGAUAGUACGGACGNGAGAGAGCGACGACGACGACGACGGAGGGAGGAG